rnacentral:lncRNA from 1 species
CGGGGACUCGGUGCGGAGCCGGGGCGCCGAGUGUCUCCGUGUCCCUCUGCCCCAGCCGGCGGCCGCGAUGGUGGAGCUUGGCCUCUCGCUCUCUCCCGCCUCUCCAGCGACUGCUCUGCCGGCCGCGGAGGUCGGAUCGAGCGGUCAUUCAUUCAUUUGUUAAUUCGUUCACUUAUUCAGGGGAGAUCAUUGAACCCCUACGGAGUACCGGGUACUGGGCCGGGCGCUGAGGACGCGGGGCUGAGCAAAAGCAGCCGAGGCCCACCUUCGUGCCCCUUAAAACCCAGCGUGCGGGGCGGCAACGAGUACUGCUUUUCUGUUUUGCACUUAAAAUUUACAUUUUGCAUCCGUACUUUUUAUUUACUGUGCACCCUUACGGCAUGCUUUACGCACCCGUACCUGCACCUCCUAGCCUUGAGUGUAGACACCAGAUCCUGAGAUGGGCGAUUUUUCGAGAAUAAUUUUUACCCUAAGUGGAUUUUCGUGCCACGCAUGGACUUGGAACUACACACACGUAGUCCAAAACGUGAAAGUCAAAAUGCAGCUUUGCCAAGUGGCAGGGAGAAAGGAGAGCUGAGAAGAUGAGGAGAGGAAGGGCGCGCUCCAGGCUUUCCAGCCCGGGUGCGGUAGACGUAGCCCUGAAGGAUGAACCCAGGCUGGUAGUAGGGCGGCGGGAGGGCGGGGGGACCUGUCAGUCAAGUCCAAAGCAGAAACGCGGCGCCGGAUCCCAGUCAGAGGCCGGCUGGAACGCUUCCCACAGGCUCCUGGCGCUCCGGUCCCCACCAGGCGACCUUGAUCCUGGCGUGCUCAGCGGAGCCAGCGCAGCGUCGGGAGCUGGAGAGACGCGGGGCGCCGGCUGAGCGCUCCUGCCCUCUGCCUCUGGGCUAGCCUCUGGCCCGGCCUCCCGGCCUCCCCCAGGGUACGCUCUCCCCCAAGAGCGAACACCAGCUUUGGGAUCGCCAGCAGCCACGUCUCUGCUUCUAGAUCUCUUUUUUUUUUCUUUGAGACUUAGUUGAUAGCUGUUUAAGGAAUUAUGUGGAGGAAAUCUCACCUCCGACCCCCGCCCCCGUUGAGCACGGCCGGCCAGGGUCGCUGGGUGGGCCAGGAGGAAAGAAAGGGGCGGGGAAGAAGCAGCAAUUUUACUUUAAAUUAAAAUGACACAAAAAUAUUUUUUCAACUCAGAUCUUUCUGAGACAUCCCCAGAAAGCGUUGCAAGCUGUGAUUACACCUAAUGUGAGAGCAUGAACUAAUUUAAGAGGUGAGAGCUGCAUAAUGAGGCUGCCUCCCGUGUAGCAGCCAAGACUGGCAGCUCUGGCGGCGCGCUGGAGGGGACCGGGAGGGGCACCCUUGUAGAACCAGUCCCUGGCGCCCUGGGAUCUUCUCAGUGCCCUGGCGCUGUGUUGUCGGUCACUCCACAGAUAUUACAGGGUGCCUCCUGAAUGCCGGGUUGCAAUCAAGAGCAAGAGAUGGGGCGAGUGAAAGAGCCUGUUUUCAGGAGCUCAGCAUCAGGAUGACGAUUACCUAGAGGGAGGUGGUGGCCAGCCUCCCCCUCUUCUCUUCAUGCUGAGGCUCUGGUGGGCAGUGCCCAAGCCUGAACUGCCAUCUGUAUGCCAGUGGUUACCCAACUUGUAUUUUCAGUCUUAGCCUCUCUCUGGUCCAGACUUGUCAUUCUAAGGGCCCUUUUUCACUGACUCACAUUGUCUCCUCCCUCCCUGCCUUCCAAACUCAGCCUUUUCCUUUUUCCCUUUCCCACUGACAACAGCUGCACGACCCCCCCGCCCCCCCACGAGGUGAAAAUUCCCAAGAACCCCAUGUCUAACCUAACUCCCUCUCUAUGUCCUGUUGCUUGAGCCAUUCUCAUUAGGCUGCCUGUUCGGAGUUCAUUAUCUCCUAAUUUUUCAUCCAGGAAUUGAUGAAGAAUCACCUACUGCCUCUCCCACACACUGUUUAUUCUUUCAUUUGAUGAUAUCUGUUAAGUGCCCUGAGAUAUGUAACCUCCACUUCCCUCCCAUAUAAGUGAGAUUUCACGUUGAUUACUUCCUUGGCUUUCCUCAUCCCUUAUCCACAUAGCAUGUGUUCAAAAUAAUGAAUAUUAAUUUAAUGUUAAUAGAUAUGUGCUUUCCUGAAUUGUGAGGAUUAAAUGAAAUCAUGUAUAUAGGGAGGAAAAUCCAUUAGAAACCUCAAAAGCAGUUAUGUUUAUUUUUGCUAUUGUCACAUUGUUAGAGUCAGAAUUCUUUUAGCUGCAAGUGACAAAACCAACUCAAACUGGCUUAAGGACUUUAUUGGUUGAUGCAAAAAGCCUCGGGUUAGGUCUUGCCAUUUAAGGUAGGGCUGGAUCCAUCAAUCCGGGUUACCAGGAUCUGUUUUCUAGUUGUGGCUUCAUUUUCAGACAAGUUGUUUCCAUAUGAUAGCCUCAUAGAAGGUACUACCAGCUUAGUCCUAGCAAGAAAAAAGAGUACUUACUCUUCAAUAUUUGCAGCAGAAGUCCCAGGUCUGUUCUUAUGAGGGCAGUUUGAGUCACUUGCUCUUCUCUGAACGUGGAGAAGGCACUGUUUAGAUGAUGGAGGUUGGAUUCAGGUGCAUCCCCUGGAAUGGGGUUUGGCAUUAGCUUCACGUGGUCUAGAAUAAAGGGGUUCUCCAAAGGAAAAUUAGGGUAGGAAUGCUGAGUAAGCAGAACAAACAGAUGUCUACUUUAGUCCUUCCCAAAGGGUGAGCUGCAAUACAUUGCAGACUAUCAGAAUGGUGAUGAACACGGAUGCAGUAGCCAAGAAAAUAGAUGUGUGUUUGUCGUGGUCUUUUUCAGUCUUCAAGAUCUCAGUUAAACAUGAAGUCAACCACUCACUAUGAUGUUAUUUGAGGUUUAGCUUUGAAGUGGAAAUGUACCACAAAUAGUAGAGCCAGAUAAAUACAAAUAAAUAAUUUUAACAGUCCAUUCUAAAAGAUUUCUUUGGUAAUAUUCUGUUGGAAUUGAUUUCUAUCUUUUCAUUUGUUAGGUUCCUGGAAAGUGAAAAUUUCAUUUCUUUGUGGACAGGUACCUAAAAUGUCUCAUUAUUCAUCAAUUAAUGAAAAACAAAUGAAAAUUUGAGAGAGAUAUUCUGAAGAAUAAAAGGAUCAAGUUGGGUCAUUUCUAAAAUGUAAGAUUAUAAGGUUUAACUUGCUAAGACUUUUGAGGGGUUGAAUUAUUGGUAAAUUAUUAUAGAACCACUUAUCUGAGGCUUUUAAAAGUGAUGUGUUACAGAGAUUUAGGGAACUGCAAGAUUGCAGAUAAAGAAUUUAUACUGUCAACUGUUCUAUACUUUACCUUCUGCUUUAAAUGCGGCCUUAUAUUUUGAAGUCAAACAUUUAUUUUCUCUCACUGCGUUCUGAAUUUCCUACCACAGUGCAUUUUGAGAAAUGAAUAUAACAGCAGUCUUCAUAGAUGCCAUAUUCAUGGCAACUCUGUCCCCCGCCAACACCACACCCUGGAAAAAAACCAACUUUCUAUUGUUGGAAUGAGGUAACAUUUUCAGGAAAAGGGAACCAUUUUCUCACAGGAUAUAGAACAAAUUCAACCUUUUAUUAAAUCAAAAUGGAUUCUCUAAUGUUUAUACAUAUCAUAUAGGAUUUCAUCUCUUUCAAUCUUGGUUCAAAGGCCCAGACAGUACCAUUCCCUAGUAUUUAGUCCAUUUGCUCAUAAAGCAGAAGAGAAAAGCUACUUUGUUCCGAAGGGUGUUAGAUUUAGGAUUCCAAGGUUAUUUCAAAUUAAUGCCUGGAACUAGACUAUAAAAUGCAGGAAAGAUUCUAAGUUGUUCAAAGAUGAAAUAUCUUAACUUUCACCAAAAACUCUGUCUUCUGGGUAUUUUUUGUUUUUCUGCCUUUCCAGAUUUAUUUUAAAUACAACAUUUUUGCUGUUUACAUUUUUAAAAGUUACAUUUCAAAAUUGUUCAUAAUUGGACACUUUCAUAAAAUGUAGGCAAAUGCAGUUUUACUUUUUAAUGAAGGACAAGUCUGUUGAUAACAUUUUGAUUCUUAAAAUUUUUUUUAUCUUAUAAAAAUGAAACAAUGCAUUUAAAGUGUCUUCAGCUCUUAUGUUAAUACCAAAUUAUACAUUUUCUUAGCCCAUGUUCAGGAGAGACAAUAUAUCUUCCAAAUUAAGAGAAGCUGGCACCAUUUUUAAAACAAGGCCUUGAAUCUGCUGUGGUAUGUGCUGGUAGGAAUUUUGUAUGAAGCUGUUAUUGAAGUAGAUGACAUUAAGGUCAAAGGAAAAAAAAAACAGAAAAUAAUGUAAUCCUACAGAGCUGCUCUUAAGAUCUUGAGAGAAAAACCACGUAGGUAACAUCAAACACUAGUUGGAAUCUUUCCAAGAAGUAAUUAUCUGUGUGCUGUUUGUGGUGGUUGAUUAUGGGAACAAACCAAGGUUUAGCCAAUUCAGCAAACAUUUAUGGAGUGCCUGCAAUGUGCAUGUCACUGUUUUAAGGCCUGUGCCUACUGUAAAGGUGACCCACACAUGAUGCCUGCCUUGCAGGACUUGGAGUUCAGCGAUAAUAAGAGAUGCAUACCUGAAAAGCCUAUUUAAGACUCUUCCGGUUCUACAAAGAAGGCUUCUUGAAAGUGGUAGCUUUGAUUACUCUUUGGAUUUAUUUACAUUUAUCCUAUAAUCAGAAGGUAUACAAAACAGACUCACACAUAUAUAAAAUUAAUAGAUUAGAUAGCAUUUAAACAAAUAUUUCAGGUAGGUACUUCAAAUGCAUUUGACAUUUAUCAAAGAAAUGGUAAGUGCUGUCAUCCGUGGGUGGCUGGAUUAACAUGUGGGACUACUUAUCACCAAUUUUGUUAGGGAUCUUAGGGAAAUUCCUGGAUCUUAUAUUCACAAGCAAUUGUAUAAAUACUUCCCACAGCUCAGAGACCUAAUAGGAUGGGGUCUUAGAGAAACAUCUUUUGAGCCACAGACUUCUUUGUUACCAGAAGGAAAAUGAAAGAAGAAAUUUAAAUACCACUUGAAGAGAGCUGAUCGCCACCAACUGGCCUCUGGGUGGAUUUGGCCAAUGGAAGCACCUGUAGAGGGAAGAGAGUGAGGUUAGGAUAUUUCUUCCUGCUGUCUCCGUGCUUCCCUGCAGAGAGUGUGAAGAAAUGACCCUGAAAAGCCUCUGGCAGAGGAUUCUUCUUUCAGGAUGGUGUCGCCUCCUCAGCAGCCCAUCCUCCUCCCCUGGACUCAAGCUCUCAUUCCAGUAACACUCCUUCCUCCUUCUCCAUCUUCAGGGGGAGGUUUGCCAGUCGGUGGGUUCUAAGCAUAUCUCGCUGAUUCCCCCCAACCCUGCCGACACCUCUGUAGGUCGUCCCUUCAUUAAAAUCUCUCCAUUUGAACUAUCUGAGUUUAAUUCCAUUUCCUCCUGGUAUCUCAGUGAUACACGGUAUCAGUACAAAAAUCUCGCUUCACCUUCAGAACCAACAGAUUUGAGACAUUUUAUCCUCUGUGGAACCAUUAGUUAUUUUGUCAUUGGUUGUAUCAGAAAAAAAAAUCAGGAAUGCAAAUCCUUCUUUAUUACAGAUUCAGAUUUGCAUAUUACCAAUGUUAUAUAUUUUAAACAAAACUAUUCAUCAUAAGUUUUAAAAAUUAACUACUGGAGUAGUUAAUGAAUCUGAAUGUAAUUAUGUAGCUUUCAUAAUAUUAAAGUAAAAAUACUAAAAGAAGUAUUUCUUAAAGAAGCAAAUGCUCAAUCUCCAAGUAAAUUUUAUUCUAUGCUCUUCCGGUAUAAGAAUAUGUUAAUAUCUUGAAAAAUAUCAUAUUAUUUUGUGAACUCAUAAAGCUAUUUUGAGUUUUUGUAAAAUGAAAACCUUACCAAAAUGUAUUUUAUUGUUGGAAAGCUUGACCGUUACUGCUGUUUAAUUUUUUGAGCUUGUAAACUUUAUUUGUGCAUGUUUUCAACAAAGAAGGAUUUUAUUGUUAUUACAUAAAACAGGUGAUUUCUAGAUUUUAAAAUCACAAAUUGAAAGCAAGGCACAAUAAUAUAUAUUUCAAGAUAUAGGUACUUAGGAGGCAUCCUUUUAGUCAUCUGUUCAAUGUAGCCAUCUAUUUUACACCUACUGUCUACUAUUGUUUGAGGUCCUUGCCAAAGUAUUGCAGGCUAGUUAGGAAACAUAAAACAAUUAGAAAGUAAUCUAUGACAAGUAAGCUAUCUAUAAAUGGCAAUGAAGGGUAGAACAAAUUCAAUGAAAAUAUCUAUUUAAUCCUAGUGUUUACUGGUCUAGAAGAAUAGGCUGAGUAAAUUAGUAUUUCUCUGGCUGUUGUGGUAACACAUUGCAUGCUAUAACAGUUUUAAGUAAUUACAGGUGCAUUGAAAUUUAUCUAUGGCUUUGUCAUCAUAUUCUAAAAUGUCAUGAGUACUUUUUUCUGACCUCAAUUACUAUGAAAUUGGUUUCCAAUAUUUAAUUAACCAAGAAUAUCAAGUCUAUAGGGUAUUAUUAAGGUGAGACUUCUGUAGCCUUUUCAAUAAAGACCAGAAUUUUGGAGUGCCUUGAACCUUAAUCAUUGAUCUUUAAUUCUUAUUAAGUCAACUGCCCACCUUUUAAAGACUGAGGCCCAGGAAGAGUAAGUUUCUCUGAGACAAUGCAUACAGUACAGUGCUUCUUGGGUAUUGGCUCUAAGACCAGAUGCAAAGAAAGGCUAAAAUCCCAUUUCAUUGUUCAUUAGGUGAGAACCCUUUGUUAAGCUGUGUAACCUCUGUGCAUAGUUUCCUCAUCAGCAAAGUCAGAAAAAGUAUGUACCUGAAGGACUGAUUGUAAGGCUGGGAUGAGAGAAUCCAUGUGAUCAGCCCUCACCAACAGGUGCUGCCCAGUUCAUGAGUGCUGCUGCUGUCCUGCCCAAGUACCCAGCUUGCAGAGUGCCAGAGUUAGAGUCCCAGGGGUGUUCUCCACAGCUGCAUGCUUGAUCCAGGCCUAUCAGGUGAGUUGGCUCUUGGCUAGUGGUUUUUCUUCUCUUGCUGUACAAAAGUCCAGACAGUAAUGUCUUUUUUUCAUUUUUAUAGAUAUAUUCCAUUGAAAGUCCUCAUUCUCAAAUUUAAAACAAAGACUUUUUGUGUACCUCAAUAGCAAUGCACACACAGUUGGCUUCACAAACAUAUUGUACAUUUCUUUUUUUCAUAUUUAUUCAACAAAUGUAUAUUGACUACCCACCGUGUGACAGGUGUUAUUUGUUGACGGAACCAGGCAUCAUCAGCAAACAAAACUGACAAAGCUUCCUGCCCUCUGUGGAAGGCAUCUGAGGAAGAGACUGGAUUUUGUAGCAACAUGUUAUUCUCAUUAUAAACUUUAUCAUUGGAAUACUAAAGCCAAAUCAUCCCCCAUCUCCUUGAUCAGGAUACCCACUUAAUCUAGGCAGCUACACAAUUGUGAGAGCCUUUGUUUUUUUCUGCUGAAACAUCCUUAAAAAGAUACCUCACAACCCAAGAUUUGGCUUUUCUUAAAUACGAUUUUUAAUUUUUUUCAUUUCUAUCUAGAGAUUUAAUUGGAAAUGGAAAAUCAUCAAUUUUCCAAUUAAAUGUCUGUUCCAAUCAACAUUAUACCUUUUAGGUUGUCAUUGUCAUUUUUAAGUUUAAGCAACUUUAAGGAUUUUGAAUCUGGCUGCCUGUAAAUUAAAGGUGAAAGUAAUCA